UAAAGUUGUUGCAGUUAAAAAGCUCGUAGUUGAAUUCUAGGCUUGACCGGGCGGUCCGUCUCUGGCGAGUACUGUCCUGUUGUCGGGUCUAUCCUUCUGGUGAGCCGGUAUGUCCUUAAUUGGGUGUGUCGGGGAACCAGGACCAUUACCUUGAAAAAAUUAGAGUGUUUAAAGCGGGCUUUUGCUUGAAUAGAUUAGCAUAGAAUAAUAGAAUAGGACGUUGGUUCUAUUUUGUUGGUCUAGGACCACCGUAAUGAUUAAUAGGG
rnacentral:rRNA from 1 species